rnacentral:rRNA from 1 species
CCUACGGGAGGCAGCAGUGGGGGAUAUUGCACAAUGGGGGAAACCCUGAUGCAGCGACGCCGCGUGGGUGAAGAAGUAUUUCGGUAUGUAAAGCCCUAUCAGCAGGGAAGAAAGAAGACGGUACCUGACUAAGAAGCCCCGGCUAACUACGUGCCAGCAGCCGCGGUAAUACGUAGGGGGCGAGCGUUAUCCGGAUUCACUGGGUGUAAAGGGAGCGUAGACGGCCGUGCAAGCCAGGAGUGAAAGCCCGGGGCCCAACCCCGGGACUGCUCUUGGAACUGUGCGGCUGGAGUGCGGGAGGGGCAGGCGGAAUUCCUGGUGUAGCGGUGAAAUGCGUAGAUAUCAGGAGGAACACCGGCGGCGAAGGCGGCCUGCUGGACCGCGACUGACGUUGAGGCGCGAAAGCGUGGGGAGCGAACAGGAUUAGAUACCCUGGUAGUC